rnacentral:lncRNA from 1 species
AGCCGGAAGUGGCAAUCUGUUUGGGUCUCCUUCUACAGUGUGGAGGUUUUAUUCUUUUGCUCUUUGCUGCAAAUCAUGCUGCUCACUGUUCGGGUCCAGGCUGCUUUAAUGAGCUGUAACACUCACUGCGAAGGUUUGUAGCUUCUCUUUUGAGGCCAGAGAGACCAUGAACCCAGGGGGAGGAAUGAACAACUCCAGACGCGCCUCUUUAAGAGCUGUAACACUCACCGCCUAGGUCUGCAGCUUUGCUCCUGAGCCAGCGAGACCAGGAACCCACCAGAAGGAAGAAACUCUGGACAUGCCACCUUUAAGAACUGUAACACUCACCGCGAGGAUCUGCAGCUUCAUUCUUGAGAGUGGAUUCUACACAUGUUUGAGAUGACAGUGAAUU